GUUUCCUGAUGGCUUACCAAGAUGCAGAGGUGUGACUAUUCAUAAGAACCACAUAUGCAGAAAUAAAAACACACUAACAGGAGCAAUAACAAGAGCAGCCAUGAAAAACAAGAUGAUCACUGUCUUCUGUAUAACCUUAAAUAUCAUGCUCAUCUCAGGUUCCUCUCUCAGUGACAAAGUGAAGCAGACUCCAGCUCACAUGAUCAAGAAAUCAACAGAAACAGCUAACAUCAGCUGCUCACAUAGUAUUGAUAGCUAUAAUGUAAUCCUCUGGUACAAGCAGUUAAACAACAGACAGCUGCAGUUCCUGGGAUACAUGUUGAUGGACUCAAAAAACCCAGAAACUAGAGUUGCAGUGAAGAUGGAAGGGAAUGCAAAUAAAGACCAGAACUGCACUUUAACCAUUGAAACACUGGACCUGAACAGCAGUGCAGUUUACUUCUGUGCUGCUAGUUUACACAGUGCCACACAUCACUGCUCCUCAGUACAAAAACCUCACCAUCACUAUGUUUUCAUCAGCUCAUAAUCACUUACACCUGCUACUUCCUCUCAUUAGGUGGCAGUGUAUCUAUAUUCUGUGAAUCUGAACCACUGAUGUGUAGCAGGAGUUGAUGUGAUCAUUAUAAUGUGGAGAGAAGAAGAUAAACUAUGACACCACCCACUGACAGAGCUCAUUUUACUAAACUAAGAGUUUACUCAGAGGAGGUUGGAAAUAAUCACAGAUACACUGACUGAAGAAAAUGAACAAGUGUGAAGUUUAGAGGACACAAAAUGAUUCUUUUGUUUUUCUUUAUUCUAAGUAUGACUUCUAACACUGUUCUGGUUUCAGGUAAUAUCAACAAAAUUAUUGUUAAAAAAAAGUUUUUCUUACAUUUUCACAAAAUCUCUUUUUAACUUAGCUUUGGGUACAACCAGUCUACAAUACUGAUGAUACAUUAGCCAAGUUACCCUUAUAUUUUAGUUGGUAUUUGUGUUUUUACAGCGAU